rnacentral:tRNA from 1 species
GGGCCUGUAGCUUAGCUUGGAUAGAGCGCUUGGCUUCGGACCAAUUCCAAGUCCAGAGAGGUCGGGGGUUCAAAUCCCUCCAGGCUCA